rnacentral:tRNA from 1 species
CUCUCUUUAGCUCAGUCUGGUAGAGCAUCUGCUUUGGGAGCAGAGGGUCGCAUGUUCAAGUCGUGCAAGGGAGACCA